CUUCCCCUCAGUAGGAAAAAAAAAAAAAGAAAAGAAAGAAAAGAAAAAGAAGAAACAGAAGAAAAAAAAAAAUUGUCAAGCCCCCGAACUGAAGGUUACGAGCGGCCCGUCAGCAGCCCACAUGUAACCGAACUGUCGUGUUUCAUGGCUUUUUGCCACUCCAGCUGUCAAUCAAAGCCCGGAAUGUCAAGGAUUCCCUCCAAGUCUGAUAGGAAAGACAGGGCCAUUUCUGGAUGAGCUGUAAGGAUGCAUUUUCAUUUCCAUAACACUGAAGCACUUUUUAUAAACCUUAUGUUGUAUUUAAAUAAAUCUGUAUGGACAUUAAGAGAAGCAACUCAUACUAAAAUAGCUUGGCCUUGAGCCCUCAAUCCCAACAUUAGGGGGGAAAAAUCCAGAAUCCACCUGAGAAGCUUUUCUUACUCAUCUUUUCUUCAAAACAAACAAACUAAAAAAAAGAAAAAGAAAAAAAAGGGGGGGGGGCAAAAGAAAGUUUGCUGCAUGCAUCUGUGUGUCUUCAUGUGCGCGUUUAUAAACAUCUCCCAGUCCGUGUUUGCGUAUUACCUCCCUCCUGCCACACACUCGAAGGCAGAGGCAUCGAGGGAUCGCCCCCAGAGAGUUGUGUUUACUUAGGUUUUUUUUUUAAUCUCUCCGCCAUGUAUGACAAGUGUUACUUCAAGAAAUUCAUCAGGCUUCUACAGAUACUUCCAGUUUUGCUGUAAUGAUCUGCAGAAGAGAACUGCCAUCACUUUCUCACAUCCCAAGGUGUUGCAGGAACUCAGAGAAAGGAGAGCGGCUGAAACGCUUAAUUACGGUGGGGGAGGGAGGAGCGUGAGGCGCAGACCGAGGGCGGAGGGAAAGGAGGAAGGUCCUUCACCUGGCCUGUACCUGCACAAAGCUCCCAGUCCUCUGGGUGAAAAUUUGGGAAAGGUACUGUUGCCUUUUUUUUCUUUAAUGCCUUCGGGGAGAAGUGAUACCCUUGUGUAACAAUUAGCUCAGACAAUAAAAAUAAUUGGAAAAUCA